GGAUUUAGCUCAGCGGUAGAGCGCUUGCCUAGCAAGCACAAGGCCCUGGGUUCGGUCCCCAGCUCCG
rfam:Rattus norvegicus chromosome 13, whole genome shotgun sequence.